rnacentral:rRNA from 1 species
UACAGAGGUCCCAAGCGUUGUUCGGAUUCAUUGGGUGUAAAGGGUGCGUAGGCGGCGCGGUAAGUCGGGUGUGAAAUCUCGGGGCUUAACUCCGAAACUGCAUUCGAUACUGCCGUGCUUGAGGACUGGAGAGGAGACUGGAAUUUACGGUGUAGCGGUGAAAUGCGUAGAUAUCGUAAGGAAGACCAGUGGCGAAGGCGGGUCUCUGGACAGUUCCUGACGCUGAGGCACGAAGGCCAGGGGGAGCAAACGGGG